rnacentral:rRNA from 1 species
GUGAGGAAUUUUCCGCAAUGGGCGAAAGCCUGACGGAGCAAUGCCGCGUGAAGGAUGAAGGCCUAUGGGUUGUAAACUUCUUUUCUCAGAAAAGAAUUAUGACGGUAUCUGAGGAAUAAGCAUCGGCUAACUCUGUGCCAGCAGCCGCGGUAAGACAGAGGAUGCAAGCGUUAUCCGGAAUGAUUGGGCGUAAAGCGUCUGUAGGUUGUUGAAAAAGUAUUCUGUCAAAGAUUAGGGCUUAACCCUAGAUAGGCAGAAUAAACUUUUAAGCUAGAGUUUGGUAGAGGCAGAGGGAAUUCCCGGUGGAUCGGUGAAAUGCGUAGAUAUCGGGAGGAACACCAAAGGCGAAGGCACUCUGCUGGGCCAAUACUAACACUGAGAGACGAAAGCGAGGGGAGCAAAUGGGAUUAGACACCCGGGUAGUCC